CUAGAACCCAUUAAUACAAAUAAAAAUAUAGAAAGGAACAAAUAAUAACAUAAGCUCAAAUACACCAGAAACCUGAUUGUCGCAUCUACAAGCCACUAAUACAUACAUAAAAAGUUUGAAAGAAACAAGAGGACCCAUCAGGAAGAUAAGCAACAACCUCUCAGGAAUCCACAAAAAUCCUAGGAUGUAGAUAGAAGAUGGGUAAUAACACAUAUCCGG
rnacentral:lncRNA from 1 species